rnacentral:rRNA from 1 species
CCUAAACACAGCAAGUCGAGCGGUAACAGGAAUUAGCUUGCUAAUUCGCUGACGAGCGGCGGACGGGUGAGKUAAUGCCUGGGAAUAUGCCUUAAUGUGGGGGAUAACUAUUGGAAACGAUAGCUAAUACCGCAUAAUGUCUUCGGACCAAAGAGGGGGAUCUUCGGACCUCUCGCGCUAAGAUUAGCCCAGGUGAGAUUAGCUAGUUGGUGAGGUAAGAGCUCACCAAGGCGACGAUCUCUAGCUGGUCUGAGAGGAUGAUCAGCCACACUGGAACUGAGACACGGUCCAGACUCCUACGGGAGGCAGCAGUGGGGAAUAUUGCACAAUGGGCGAAAGCCUGAUGCAGCCAUGCCGCGUGUAUGAAGAAGGCCUUCGGGUUGUAAAGUACUUUCAGUCGUGAGGAAGGGUGUGUAGUUAAUAGCUGCAUAUCUUGACGUUAGCGACAGAAGAAGCACCGGCUAACUYCGUGCCAGCAGCCGCGGUAAUACGGAGGGUGCGAGCGUUAAUCGGAAUUACUGGGCGUAAAGCGCAUGCAGGUGGUUCAUUAAAUCAAAUGUGAAAGCCCG